rnacentral:rRNA from 1 species
CACGUAGGGUGCGAGCGUUGUCCGGAAUUAUUGGGCGUAAAGAGCUCGUAGGCGGUUUGUCGCGUCGGGAGUGAAAUCCACUGGCUUAACUGGUGGCUUGCUUUCGAUACGGGCAGACUGGAGGUAUGCAGGGGAGAACGGAAUUCCUGGUGUAGCGGUGAAAUGCGCAGAUAUCAGGAGGAACACCGGUGGCGAAGGCGGUUCUCUGGGCAUGUCCUGACGCUGAGGAGCGAAAGCCAGGGGAGCAAACGGG